GGACAGGUAAGAUGAAGCCUCACCAGGAAAGAGAAGCAAGGAAAUCAUAACAGAAUAAAACCAAAAUGAAACACAGUACCUGCCUUCAUUCUGAACUAACUCGUUCCUGACCUGCAGCCUAACCUGGAGCCCUGGUCCCUGUGCUCUGCCAGAGGAAGCCUGUGAGCUAGGACAGAGCAGAUGCUGCCACUGAUUCCAAUGCCAACACCCCUGACAAGCAUGGACACUGAGCAGCCUGCACACGCAUGAAUCCAAAAUCUGGCUCUGGCCCGACGGACAGUCAAGGAAAGAAAGAAGUCACAACAUAAUUUAAUACUCGAUAAGUACAGGGAUACCCUGCUUUAUUGCACUUUGUAGAUAUUGCAUGUUUUAUGAAGGCUGGUUUUGUGGCAACCCUGCAUCAAGCAAGUCUAUUGAUGAGCACCAUUUUUCCAACAGCAUAUGCUCAUUUUGCACCACACUUGGCACUUGGUAAUUCUCACAGUAUUUCAAGCCUUUUCAUUAUUAUAUCUGUUAUGGUGAUCUGUAAUCAGUGAUCUUUGAAGUCACUGUUAUAAUUGUUUUGGAGGCACCACAAACUGCACCCGUAUAAGAUGGCGAACUUAAUAUACGUAGUGUGUGUUCUGAUUGUUCCACACACUGGCCAUUCCCCCAUCUCUUUCCUUCUCCUCAGACCUCCUUAUUUCCUGAGACAAAGGAAUAGUAAAACUAGGCCAAUUAAUAACCCUACAAUGGUCUCUAAAUGCUCAAAUAAAAGCAAGAGUCCCCCAUUUCUCACUUUAAAUCAAAGCUAGAAAUGAUUAAGCUUAGUGAGUAAGGCAUGUCUAAAACUGAGAUAGGCUGAAAGUGAGGCCUCUUGCACCAAAUGGUUAGCUAAAUUGUAAAUGCAAAAAAAAAGUUGUUGAAGGAAAUUUAAAGUGCUACUUCAGUGAACACAUAAAUGAUAAGAAAAUGAAACAGCCUUAUUGCUGAUGUGGAGAAAGGUUUAGUGACCUGGAUAGAAGAUCGAACAAGGCAAAAUAUUCCCUUAAGCCAAAGCCUAAUCCAGAGGAAGGCCCCAAUUCUCUUUAAUUCUAGAGUUAGAAGCCUGAAGGAGGUAAGGAAGCUGCAGAAGAAAAGUUGGAGGCUAGCAAAUAUUGGUUCUUGAGGAUUAAGGAAAGAAGCCAUCUUCAUAACAUAAAAGUGCAAGGUGAGGUAGCAAGUGCUGAUGUAGAAGCUGCAGCAAAUUAUCCAAAAGAUCUAGCUAGGAUUAUUGAUGAAGGUGGCAGUUCUAGACAACAGAUUUUCAGUGUAGACAAAACAGCCUUCCAUUGUAAGAAGAUGCCAUCUAGGACCUUCUUAGCUAGAGAGGAGAAGUCAAUGCCCGGCUUCAAAGCUUCAAAGGACAGGCUGACUCUCUUGUUAGGAACUAAUGCAGGUGGUGACUUUAAGUUGAAGCCAACACUCAUUUACUAUUUCUAAAGUCCCAGGGCGCUUAAGAACUCUGCUAAAUCAACUCUGCCUGUGCUCUGUAAAUGGAACAACGACACCUGGACGGCUGCAUAUCUGGUUUACACCAUGGUUAACUGAAUAUUUUAAACCCACUGUUGAAACCUACUGCUUAGAAAAAAAAAAAGUUCUUUCAAAAUAUUACCACUCAUUGACAGUGAACCCUGUCACCCAAGAGCUCUCAUAGAGAGUAACAAGGAGAUUAAUGUUUUCAUGCCUGCUAAUACAACCAUCAUUCUUUUUUCUUCUUUCCAGCUUUUAGGUUCAAGGGGUACAUGUGGGUUUAUUACAUGGGUAAAUUGCAUGUCACAGGGGUUUGGUGUACAGAUAAUUUUGUCACCCAGGUAAUCAUCAGAAUAGACAAUAGGUAGUUUUUUAAUCCUUACCCUCCUCCCACCCUCUUCCUUCAAGUAGGCCCUGGUGUCUAUUGUUCCCUUCUUUGUGUCAAUGUGUGCUCAAUGUUUAGCUCCCACUUGUAAGUGAGAACAUGCAGUAUUUGGUUUUCUGUUCCUGAAUUAAAUUGCUUAGGAUGAUGGCCUCUAGCUACAUCCAUGUUGCUGCUAAAGACAUGAUUUCAUUCUUUUUUAUGGCUGCAUAGUAUUCCAUGGUGUAAAUGUACCAUAUUUUGUUUAUCCAUUCUACCACUGAUGGGCACCUGGGUUAGUGCCAUGUCUUUGCUAUUGUGAACAGUGCUAUGAUGAAUGUAUGUGUGCAUGUGUCUUUAUGGUAGAAUGAUUUAUAUUCCUUUGGGUAUAUACUCAGUAAUGGGAUUGCUGGGUUGAAUGAUAAUUCUAAGUUAUUUGAGAAAUCUCCACACUGCUUUCCACAGUGGCUGAACUAAUUUACAUUCCCACCAACAGUGUAUGUAUUCCCUUUUUUCUACAACCUUGCCAGUAUCUGUUAUUGUUUGACUUUUAAGAACAGCCAUUCUGACUGCUAUGAGAUGGUAUCUCAUUGUGGUUUUGAUUUGCAUUUCCCUAAUGAUUAGUGAUAUUGGGCAUUUUUUUUCAUAUGCUUGUUAGCCAUGUGUAUUCUUCUUUUGAGAAGUGUCUGUUCAUAUCCUUUGCCCACUUUUUUUGCUUAUUAAUUUGUUUAAGUACCUUAUAGAUUCUGGAUAUUAGAUAUUUGUUGGAUGCAUAGUUUGCAAGUAUUUUUUCCCCAUUCUGUAGGUUGCCUGUUUUCCCUGUUGAUGAUUUCCUUUGCUGUGCAGAAACUCUUUAGUUUAAUUAGGUCCUACUUGUUAAUUUUUUGUUGUUGUUGUUGCAAUUGCUUUUAGAAUCUUCAUCGUGAAGUUUUUAUCAGGGUUGAUGACCAGAAUUGUAUUUAAUAGGUUUUCUUGUAGGGUUUUUAUAGUUUUCAAUUUUACAUUUAAGUCUUUAAUCCAUCAUGAGUUGAUUUUGAUAUAUAGUGAAAGGUAGGACUCUAGUUUCAAUCUUCUGCAUAUGACUAACCAGUUAUCCCAGCAUCAUUUAUUGAAUAAGGAGUCCUUUCCCCAGUGCUUGUUGUUAUCAACUUUGUUGAAGAUCAGAUGGUUAUAAGUGUGGGGCUUUAUUUCUGGGCGGUCUAACCUGUUUCAUUGGUCUAUGUAUCUGUUUCUUUACUAGUAGCAUGCUGCUUUAGUUACUGCAGCCUUGUAGUAUAGUUUGAAGUUGAGUAGUGUGAUGCCUCCAGCUUUGUUCUUUUUGCUUAGGAUCGGUCUGGCUAUUUGGGCUCUUUUUUGGUUCCAAAUGAAUUUUAGAAUAGUUUUUUCCUAAUUCUGUGAAAAAAGCAUCGUUGGUAGUGUGAUAGGAAUAAAAUUGAAUCAGUAAAUUGCUUUAGGCAGAAUGGCCGUUUUAACAAUAUUGAUUGUUUCUAUCGAUGAGCAUGGAAUGCUUUUCCAUUUGUUUGUGUCAUCUUUGAUUUCUUUCAGCAGUGUUUUGUGAUGCUCAUUGUAGAAAUCUUUCACCUCUCUGAUUGGCUAGGUAUCAGAAAUAAAAUACAUAGGUAUUUUAUUCUUUUUAUGGCCAUUGUAAAUGGGAUUGUGUCCUCGAUUUAGCUCUCAGCUUGGAUGUUAUUGGCGUAUAUAAAUGCUACUGGCUUUUGGACAUUGCUUUUGUAUCCUGAAACUUUGCUGAAGUUUUAAAAUCAGAUUUAGGGGCCUUUGGGCAGAGACUAUGGGGUUUUCUGGGUAUAGAAUUAUAUUGUCUCCAAAGAGAGAUAGUUUGACUUUCUCUCUUCCUAUUUGGAUGCCUUUUAUUUCUUUCUCUUGUCUGAUUGCUCUGGCCAGAAGUUCCAGCACUAUGUUGAAUAGGAGUGGUGAAAGUGGACAUCUUUGUCUUGUUCCAAUUCUUGAUAAGAAUGUUUCCAGCUUUUGCCCAUUCAGUACAAUGUUGGCUGUUAUUAUUUUUUAUUCCAUUUUGUAUGUCGUCUGUUUACUCUGUUGAUAGUUUCUUUUGCUACAACAUCAUUCUUUCUUAUAAUGUUUGCCCAUGUUAUUUUGAGGUAUGUUCCUUCAAUGCCUAGUUUGCAAAACCACCAUUCUGCAGCCCAUGGAUCAAGAAAUAAUUUCAACUUUCAAAUCUUAUUGUUUAAGAAAUGCAUUAGGCUGGCCGGGUGUGGUGGCUCUCGCCUGUAAUCCCAGCACUUUGGGAGGCUCAGGCGGGUGGAUCACGAGGUCAGGAGAUCGAGACCAUCCUGGCCAACAUGCUGAAACCCCGUCUCUACUAAAUAUACAAAAAAUUAGCCGGGCAUGGUGGUGGGUGACUGUAGUCCCAGCUACUUGGGAGACUGGGGCAAGAGAAUGGCGUGAACCUGGGAGGCAGAGCUUUCAGUGAGCCGAGAUGGUGCCACUGCACUCCAGCCUGGGCAACAGAGUGAGACUCCGUCUCAAAAAAAAAAAGAAAAGCAUUAGGUAAGGCCACAGCUGUCAUAGAUAGUGAUUCCUCUGAUGUAUCUGGGCCAAGUAAAUCGAAAACCUUCUGGAAGGGAUUAACCAUUUUAGAUGCCAUUAAGAACAUUUGCGAUUCAUGAAAGGUGGUCAAGAUAUUGAUAUUCUCAGAAGUUUGGAAGAAGUUGGUUCCAACCCUCACAAAUGACUUUGAAAGGUUUAACACUUCAGUGGAAGAAGUCACCGCACAUGUGGUGGAAACAGCAAGAGAACUAGAAUUAGAAGUGGAGCCUCAAGAUGUGACUGAAUUGCUGCAAUCUCAUGAUCAAACUUGAAUGGAUGAGGAGUUGCUUCUUAUGGAUGAGCAAAGAAAAUGGCUUCUUGAAAUGGAUUCUACUCCUGGUGAAGAUGCGGUGAACGUUGUUGAAGUGACAACAAAGGACUUAGAAUAUUACAUAAAUGUAGUUGAUAAAGCAGCAGCAGGGUUUGAGAGGACUGACUCCAAUUUGAAAGAAGUUCUACUGUGGGUAUAAUGCUGUCAAACAGCAUCACAUUCUAUAGAGAAGUCUUUUGUGAAAGGAAAAGUCAAUCAAUAUGGCAAAGUUCACUGUUGUCUUAUUUUGAGAAAUUGCCACAGCCACCCCAGCCUUCAGCAAUCAUCAACAUGAAAGCAAGACCCUCCAUUAGCAACAAGAUUAUGGCUCGCUGAAGGCUCAGAUGAUCAUUAGCAUUUUUUAGAAAUAAAGUAUUUUUAAAUUAAGGAGAGGUGCCCGAUGAGCUCCCAGUCAUGUGGUUCAGGGCGGGCUCUGGAAGACUCACAGAGGAGACUCCUCCAAGAAACCAAGAAGGUUUCUCUCCAAGUCGGGAUCUGCUCUGCUCAGGAUGCUCCUCCAACACACACAGUGAAAAACUGAGCACCUAGAGAGCAACACCAAAAACCCAUGGCCAAUAAUGGAGAACCAAAUCAGGAGAGCAUUCAGCAAAGCAAUUCUUGCUGUAGAAGGAACAGCACAAAAAGCUGGAAGGAAACUGUGGCAUGCGUGAAAGAUAACUUGUCAGUGUUUGCAGUCUACUGAGAUCCCCGCUGCAAGAAAAGGCAGGAUUUUCACUUGCUUCUUGGCCCACCUCUGUUGUCCAGAAUCCAGGACAGGUGACAAGAGAAGCGGAUGUGAUCUGCACAAGCUGGUGCAGCUGGGUUGGGAGUUGCUCCUCCUGGACAGGCCGGGAAGGGUGCUGGAGGGGAGGGAGGAGGAGAGAGGUUUUAGGGGAGGGGUGCUGAGCAGUCAGGGACCUGUAAGGUCACAUUUCUUUCAGGUAUUCUUUCUAGGUGUACUGAAUGGGAACAUUGUCUGUCAUCCCUAGACUGCAUUAAAGACCUAAACUGCU